AUAAUAAGUUGGCAUAUAAGACAGUUGCUCAGGUUGAGCGGUGGGAACACUGAAUAAAAAGUUAAUUCAGUUAAAAACCUUUUAAAGAAAAACAAAAGAAGACCAGCAUAUCUUCAGACACCUAUGAUCUUUAACAGAAUUAGAAAUGAGAAAGAUAAGAGAAACGCUCUCCAGAAGUCAGGCAUAUAUAGAAUACCAGCUAAUAUUGUUAAUUUACAAUAACAAACUCCGUACAUAGAUGUAACUAAAAGGACACUAAAUAAAAGGAUAAAAGAGCAUAAAAAAGAUUUAGCGAACCACCACUGCACUAGCCGUUGAAGCCUACACAAACGAGCUGCAAGUAAACUGGGAAAGCACAAAAAUCAUAAAACCAUUACAUGCAAAGUCCCAAGCUUUUUUAAUGGAAUCAAUAGAAAUCCUGAAGGCCAAGCAAAAAGAACACCUACUUAAUGAUAAGCCAAUUAAAGAACUUCCCUUGGCAUGGGCAUACCUUUUGAAAGACUGGGAAAAAUGCGGCAGAAGAAAAGAACCACUUGCAACAACACUUAAAAACUUCAAUCCCUUUAGUAUAUCCAUGAAAAUGGACCUUCUGUUUUAUUUUAUUUUAUUAUGUAUAACCUUCCUUUAGUUUUUUUAAGUUUAAUUUCAUUUUAUUCUGUGUGUCUAUUGUUUAACCAAAAUAACUGUUUUAUAUGUUAAUUUAUUAUAUGAUAUUUAUUAUAGCAGCAAUUUGAUAACCAAGGCAAC
rnacentral:lncRNA from 1 species